CAGUCGCCGCGGUAAUACGGAGGGUGCAAGCGUUAAUCGGAAUUACUGGGCGUAAAGCGCACGCAGGCGGUCUGUCAAGUCGGAUGUGAAAUCCCCGGGCUCAACCUGGGAACUGCAUUCGAAACUGGCAGGCUAGAGUCUUGUAGAGGGGGGUAGAAUUCCAGGUGUAGCGGUGAAAUGCGUAGAGAUCUGGAGGAAUACCGGUGGCGAAGGCGGCCCCCUGGACAAAGACUGACGCUCAGGUGCGAAAGCGUGGGGAGCAAACAGGAUUAGAUACCCCGGUAGUCCCUGUCUCUUAUAC
rnacentral:rRNA from 1 species